UACGAAGGGUGCAAGCGUUACUCGGAAUUACUGGGCGUAAAGCGUGCGUAGGCGGACAGUUUAGUCAGAGGUGAAAGCCCAGGGCUCAACCUUGGAAUUGCCUUUGAUACUGGCUGUCUUGAGUUCGGGAGAGGUGAGUGGAAUGCCGAGUGUAGAGGUGAAAUUCGUAGAUAUUCGGCGGAACACCAGUGGCGAAGGCGACUCCCUAGCCCGAUACUGACGCUGAGGCGCGAAAGCGUGGGGAGCAAACAGG
rnacentral:rRNA from 1 species